rnacentral:rRNA from 1 species
GUCGGGAAUUUUGGGCAAUGGGCGCAAGCCUGACCCAGCAACGCCGCGUGAGGGAUGAAGGCCUUCGGGUCGUAAACCUCUGUCGGGAGGGAAGAGGGGUUCCCGGGUGAACAAUCCGGGAGCUUGACGGUACCUCCAAAGGAAGCGCCGGCUAACUCCGUGCCAGCAGCCGCGGUAAUACGGAGGGCGCAAGCGUUGUUCGGAAUCACUGGGCGUAAAGCGCGUGUAGGCGGUUCGGCAAGUCGGCUGUGAAAGCCCGAGGCUCAACCUCGGAACUGCAGCCGAAACUGCCGGGCUCGAGUCCCGGAGAGGGUGGCGGAAUUUCCGGUGUAGAGGUGAAAUUCGUAGAUAUCGGAAGGAACACCAGAGGCGAAGGCGGCCACCUGGACGGUGACUGACGCUGAGACGCGAAAGCGUGGGGAGCAAACAGGAUUAGAAACCCUUGUAGUCC